rnacentral:rRNA from 1 species
UACCCCCGCUGUGAAACUAAGCAUAUCAAUAAGCUGGAGUGAAAAGAAACCAACAGGGAUUGCCUUAGUAACGGCGAGUGAAGCGGCAACAGCUCAAAUUUGAAAGCUGGCCCUUUCGGGGUCCGCGUUGUAAUUUGUAGAGGAUGAUUCGGCGAGGGCUCCCGCCUAAGUCCCCUGGAACGGGGCGUCAUAGAGGGUGAGAAUCCCGUAUGUGGUGGGCUGCCUUAGCCAUGUGAAUCUCCUUCGACGAGUCGAGUUGUUUGGGAAUGCAGCUCUAAAUGGGAGGUAAAUUUCUUCUAAAGCUAAAUACCGGCCAGAGACCGAUAGCGCACAAGUAGAGUGAUCGAAAGAUGAAAAGCACUUUGGAAAGAGAGUUAAAAAGUACGUGAAAUUGUUGAAAGGGAAGCGCUUGCAACCAGACUUGUCCGCAGUUGCUCAGCCGGUCUCCUGACCGGCGUACUCUUCUGCGGCCAGGCCAGCAUCAGUUCGGGCGGUCGGAUAAAGACCUCGGGAAUGUGGCUCCUCUCGGGGAGUGUUAUAGCCCGGGGUGGAAUGCGGCCAGCCUGGACUGAGGAUCUCGCUUCGGCAAGGAUGCUGGCGUAAUGGUUGUAAGCGGCCCGUCUUGAAACACGGACCAAGGAGUCUAACACCUAUGCGAGUGUUUGGGUGUCAAACCCAUACGCGUAAUGAAAGUGAACGGAGGUGGGAACCCGCAAGGGCGCACCAUCGGCCGAUCCUGAUGUCUUCGGAUGGAUUUGAGCAAGAGCAUAGUUGUUGGGACCCGAAAGAUGGUGAACUAUGCCUGAAUAGGGUGAAGUCAGAGGAAACUCUGAUGGAGGCUCGCAGCGGUUCUGACGUGCAAAUCGAUCGUCAAAUUUGGGUAUAGGGGCGAAAGACUAAUCGAACCAUCUUAAUAGACUGGUUCCUGCCGAGUUCUCCCUCCCAAGGA